UACGUAGGGUCCGAGCGUUGUCCGGAAUUAUUGGGCGUAAAGAGCUCGUAGGCGGUUUGUCGCGUCUGCUGUGAAAUCCCGAGGCUCAACCUCGGGCCUGCAGUGGGUACGGGCAGACUGGAGUGCGGUAGGGGAGAAUGGAAUUCCUGGUGUAGCGGUGGAAUGCGCAGAUAUCAGGAGGAACACCGAUGGCGAAGGCAGUUCUCUGGCCGUAACUGACGCUGGAGGAGCGAAAGCGUGGGGAGCGAACAGG
rnacentral:rRNA from 1 species